rnacentral:misc_RNA from 1 species
UGCGCCACUAACCAAAUGAAGUUGGGUCCCGUAAACGAAGUUUGAAAAAAAAAACAAAAAUCGGAAACUGCCGGGCUCGCUGGCCGGGCUAUUACAAUGCAAGCAUUGGUGAAUGACACGAAGCGUUUGACAAGUACUUCCAUGUUCAAGUUGACAGAAAAAUGUUCGGCAAUACUUUGAGGGCUCCGGAGCUGUUGAAAAAUAAGGGCAUAACAUUCGAGGCAUGGAAGAAGUGGGACAAAACUGCAGAGACGUUACCGCACAAGGGCCAAAAGCAGUAUGAACCGAAUAACUCUUGGCUACAGAAUAAACAGAUAGAAAAGGGACUUAAGGAUCGCAAGGACUUACUUGGAAUAGAGAGGGUAGAACGUAGUUCUCAGCUUGCCACAGCCGAGUGGUUACCACUAGAAUCAAGGGCUCGUGUCACCAAAAAGUCUGGUCAGGAGUGGACUAAUUUUGGUCUUGAAGAGAAUCUUGAACUGUAUCUGAUCCCAGAGGAGGCAUUGCUUCUCCUUGAGCUGAAUCGUCUGGAACUAACAUGGGAGGGUGUUGCGCUCUCUGUCCAGCAAGCAUAUGUAGUUCUUUUGGAUUCUAAUCCAUCAAAGUGCAACAUAGAUGAGUAUAGAGUAUACAGUCACUUGGUACGUCAAGGUUACCGGUUACAAAGAUUUCGUUACGAAGAUGAUUCAGUCCUAUCUGAUAUGAAUAAUCCUUCUCGGCGAUGGGCGAAAUUAAAAAGGAAAAAACAGAUUCAUGACCCUCGGGGCGGUUUUGGAAUGACAAGAGCUCGCAUGAGUGUAGCUGAUUCUGAUGAAUCAAUCAAAAAUGAUUCAACCGAGACUAUACAGGAUUGUAACCCAGUCGAGAGAGGUCAGGAUAUGGUGGAUAAUACAAACGACAAGCACAAUAUCUGCAGUCUUAGAACGGAAAAAUCAGACGAAUAUCCGACUUCAAGCCAACCUGGCAAUGAUAUAAAAAGCAGGUCGGAAAUAAACAUGUCUAACAGUUCAGAAACUUGCACUCGUGAGAAUAGUGAAGGUACCAAUAAAGUUGAGAAAAUAAUAGCACCGCUCGGGACUAAUGUGGAAACUGCAUUUCUGCCAGAAACUGAAAAAUAUACUUUGGAUGGUGCCAAGACAAGUACGAAAAAGUUACCAAGUGAGUUAUAUGACAAAGGAGUUGAAAAUCUACCGGGUCCUAGCAAUGUGGAGGCUAAUAAAAGAGCCGAUAACCAGGGACAUCACACCAAGUUGAAAAUCAUUUCUGAUGAGACUAUUUUAGGUGAUAUCAAAAUAUUAUCGAAAUGGCCAGGUUCACGAAUACAAAGAAAUGUAAAAUGGAUGCCAAAACGAAAUACUAGUGGAGCUCUGCUCCCAGUGACCGAAAGAAAAUCCAGUGGCUGCACUAUUAACGAUAUCAACAUGGAUGGUGUAUCACCGCUGGAAAGUCUACAUUCAAGGCUUGGUGGAGUACCAAAAUCUUCUCGAUCAGACAAGGACCUUGAAAACGUAGAAAGACCAAAGAAAGUCAUGCAUGAGGUGAUUGAAGUUUCUGAUGAUGAGAUCGAAGAGGUACCACAGAAGAUGUCAAGAAUGGAAAUGCUAAAUCUCUUUCCAAAUGUCAUGUGUGAAGCAUCAUUACUUAAACCGAUCCCUAGAAAGUAUUUACCCUGUAAUGUCAGACCUCAACUAUCAGCAGUUCGAAGGCGAUCAAAGUACUAUGUCCGUUCAAAAAGCAAGAAUGACGACUCACAUGAAGAUAACUAUAAUACAUUACCAGAGGUCCGAUCGCGAUUGGCAAAUGAUAUGCCUGGAUCAAUUUCUUGUAGUAAUACAAUUUCUCGCAAUGAAUCUGCUCAGGUUAAUUUCAAUGGAAUUUCAGUAAAUUGCAGAAAUGAAGUUUCAUGGCAAGGUUUGUCCUUCUCCAAAGAAUUAUAUGAAAGUCGAAUGAUGUACCAACGAUGUUACAAUCAAGGAGCACACUCGCGAAGUUUGCCUAAUUACGCAGUGUUCAGAGAACCGGAACACGUCUCUGUACAUUUGCGUACUUAUACAGACAUUGCUAUAGCGCAAUAUAUUUCGGGAAGGUCACCAUUUCUUAGACGCGGCUUUUCUCAUCGUCAAAAUAUUUGGUCCAAUAUGAGUUAUUCUCAUGCCGGACAAAAUUUUUUAAAUCUCACACCUCGAAUCCUUUGUGACAGAGUGUCUGCUUACAAUGGCUUUAGCCACUUUGGGAAUUCAGUACCUCAAAGACCAACUUAUAGUCAUAAAAGAGGGUGCGAUGUAUUUAGGUAUUCGAGCCGGAAACAUUAUCCAAACCGGGCAGCAGAAAUGGGUAGGCCAUCUUUUAAAAUUGUUCCCGGCGCUUUAUCAUGGGCCGAAACUAAAGCAAAAUGGUUAGAAGAAAAGACGAUAACAAUUGAUGAUGAAGAGUGUGUAAAUAAUAAGGAUUCAUCAAGCGACGAAAGUGAAGUGAAAGUGGUGGCACAGCUGGUGAAGCCAUUAGUAGGUCCGCAGAAUACGACCAGUCUGACGAGAGUUUACCAAAGUCUGCAAAUUAUAAAAAAUAUUACGAAUAGCAAUGCUGUACGUCCAAGAAAGCUAGAACACGUUAACUACAAGAUCUCUUAUAAUUUGUACUCAACUGGUCAGCACUACAAAAAAGCAAGUCCUGGUACACCUAUGUAUAGGGUAGUUGUGUUCAGACCUGAGUUGACUCCGUUCAUUGAAUUGGCAGAAAUAAUACGUCUUCAGCAAGAUGCCAAAGAGUCGCCCAUAGUUUUCGCUUGUGCGUCGCAAACGUCAGUCACGUUUGCUGAGCUGGAGACUAUAAAGAUACCUGAUAUUACGGAUACCUGAUUUCUCAAAGGCAUUCCCUUUCAUCAGCACGGGAUUUUGUUCGGUGCAUGUGCUGAUAAUUCGAUUAUGUUCUUCAAGUUUUACAUGGAUGUAUCUUGUAUCUGGAAUUAUGUCUGAUCGUAUAUAGUGUAAAUUUUCGACGAGAACUUCGACUUUCGUUCGUUUGUAAUGCGAAAUUCGUGGAAACCAGCAGUAAAAAAAAAACUUUCUAUAUUGGAGAAAAACACUUGACAACGUUAUCAACAAUUUUUUGAAUGAAUCACGACCAGCAAGAUGUAUCAGGGCAUGUGGGUAUAUGCGACGAAAAUUGACUUCUGAUUGCAAAGAGAAAUUUUUCUUGCUUCCGGAAGAAUGAAAAAAUUAAUACAGGUUCACUUUUUAAUUCCAAAAUUUGAGAGAAGUUUUUUCCUGUGGUUUCGACAAAACUUAAUUUAUUCAUGAGAGCAAUGUCAAAAUCGAAUUAAUGAGUUCCCCUUCAUAAUUUGAAUGCAAUGUAUUUGUGUCUUAGGAUACACUGUCAAUGAGAUCAAUUCAAUGGUGAACAAUACAUCGGAUGAGUUUCCAAGAGAGUUGGAUGUAGUUUUGUUUGCAAUAGACGUAUACCCAGGAACUCAGAAAUCGCCACUGACAUGGGAUCAACUAUUGUGAAAUAAAGAUCAAUGUAUGAGAAAUUAAACAUUUAUGUUUUGGAAUAUUUUGUGAAAAAAAAAGGAAAGGUACACAAAAUCUAGAAUAAUUCGACCCUCAGGAGUGCGAAAAGGUGAUCUCCAACAGCAAACGACGAAUAAUACAGGAAAUAUAAAAUAAAUUCGGUAAAUAUUGAGUUUCUAUUCAUUUUAAUACUGGUCACAUGAAAUACGGACAGUAUAACAAUAUAAUACGUCAUAUAUUGCAUAGUGGCAAAGGUGUGUUGCACAUGUACGCAGACAAGAACUUGAGAUGUAUGUUGGAACUAUGAUAGAAACUAUCUGAUUAGUUAAUAUUCUACUUCAGACGAUGUAUACUGCAUACCUAUUACCUCAUAUAAUAAUUGUUUUUCUUAUGUGAUGUUCUUUCAUAUUUUUGUAUUGUUCUUUGACUUCUAAUUUGAAUCUAUUUGUCAACUCGUGGAAUUACUGGACACUGACACCCAAACACUUGUACUAGAAUUAAGGCAUAUUAAAUAAACUGAUGUUUUGGGUAA